GCAAUACAGCAUACUAAUAAAAUCUCAAAUAUGCAAUAUAUUAUAUGCAGUAAUAAAACCUGAAAUAUGCAGUAUAUUAUAUGCACUAAUAAAACCUCAAAUAAGUGAUAUAACGUACGCUAAUAAAAUUCAAAUAUGUACAAUAUAGCACACAAAUAAAACAUCAAAUAUGCAAUGUUAUAUACACUAAUAAAACUCAAAUAUGGAAUAUAGCACACUAAUAAAAUUUUAAAUAUGCAAUACAAUAUACACUAAUAAAACUCAAAUAUGUACAAUAUAGCACACAAAUAAAACAUCAAAUAUGCCAUAUAAUAUGCACUAAUUAAACCUCAAAUAUGCAAUAUGAUAUUAACUAAUCAAACUCAAAUAUGAUAUAAUAUUCGCUAAUAAAACUCAAAUAUGAUAUAAUAUUCGCUAAUAAAACUCAAAUAUGCAGUAUAGCACAAAUAAAUCUCAAAUAAGCGAUAUAAUAUACACUUCUAAAACUCAAAUAUGCAAUAUAGCACACAAAUAAAACUGAAAUAUGCAAUAUAGCACACUACUAAAAUUUCAAAUGUGCAAUUUAAUACGAACUAAUAAAACUCAAAUAUGCAAUAUAGUAUGCACUAAUUUGGCUUUGGAUUUAUAUAAGCUCAAAUUUUGACAUAUGUUUACAUACAUACACAUGUACAAAGGGUAGCCUAUCGCUUUCUCAGUCCACCAGUAAGUCUAGCUUUGUAACUUUCAAUAAAUUGCCGGCAGGCGUUGAGAAUCAACCAACCCAGGUGUUGGCAGUAUGGUUGCAGACUUCAGUCUUAUCCGUCCUACGACUGCGGUUGGGCUCCAGAUGCAGUCAACUGCUAGGUCAAAUCUGCACCCAACACUUGCAGCUCCUGGACAAAACUCACUCAUAUUCACAUUUAUUCUUAAAUACAUUCUAUAUGCACUAAUAAAACAUCAAAUAUGCAAUAUUUUGUAUACCAUAAUAAAACCUGAAAUACACAAUAUUCUAUUACCACUAAUAAAACCUCAAAUAUGCAUUAUAAUAUGUAUUCAUUUGGUUUUGAGUUAUGUAAGCUCAAAUCAGCACAUGUGCCUACAUAUAUAUACACACACAUGUACAGAAUGGAGCCUACCACUUCCAGUCCACCAUCAAUUCUAGCUUUUAUAGGUUGCAAUAAAUUGCCAGCAAGCCUCGAGAAUCAACCAAACUGAGUGUUGGAAGUACCAGAGUCAAAGACUUUAGCACAAUAGAAAGAAUCAAUAAAUGCUAAUCAAAUUGGAUUUAUUAAUUACACUGCAAUAAACUUCUGUUGUCCAGAGAUGUUUCGUGCUAAUUUGGUCCAGGCUGUCUGGGGUAUUUUGCAUUAUUCCUUAUGAUCUUUUCCAUCAACUGACUGGACACUUUAUUUCAAGGCUUUUUCUAAUUAAAAAGUCAUGAGUUUCAAGCAGCGAGGCAGCAGAAACAGGCCCUAAUUUGUGGAAUAAACAAGAACCACAUUAAAGAACUGGAAUCUUGGGUCACUAGGAACUGACAGUUGCGCUGGUCUACAAUGGAUAUCACACAAACUGAAGAUGGCAAAAUGCUGACACACUGAUGUACCAACCAGCAAGGAUAGGCAGGACAAGAGUAAUUACAAAUACCAGUAACAAAAAGGUGCCCCCCCGGAGGACAAAAUAGGGGGGGGAGGCAACUUACAACAGCCUGAUGAUGGACAGAGCCCCUAAAUCCAUUGCAGGUUUUGUGCUGUUCGACUCAAGAGGUCAAACAUUAGUAUCCGAUUCAGUUGAAGGGAGAAGAUGAGUGUCAAACACUGAUUUGCUUAUGUUCUGCAUUCCUUACUGAAAUAUUUCUUUCUUUCUUUAAUCUAUUCAUUAUUGUUUGUUGAUUACUUGUUUAAAAAAAAUAUAUGUA